rnacentral:rRNA from 1 species
GGGGAAUUUUGGACAAUGGGCGCAAGCCUGAUCCAGCAAUGCCGCGUGCAGGAUGAAGGCCUUCGGGUUGUAAACUGCUUUUGUACAGAACGAAAAGCUCUUCUCUAAUACAGAGGGGUCAUGACGGUACUGUAAGAAUAAGCACCGGCUAACUACGUGCCAGCAGCCGCGGUAAUACGUAGGGUGCGAGCGUUAAUCGGAAUUACUGGGCUUAAAGCGUGCGCAGGCGGUUUUGUAAGACAGAGGUGAAAUCCCCGGGCUCAACCUGGGAACUGCCUUUGUGACUGCAAGGCUAGAGUACGGCAGAGGGGGAUGGAAUUCCGCGUGUAGCAGUGAAAUGCGUAGAUAUGCGGAGGAACACCGAUGGCGAAGGCAGUCCCCUGGGCCUGUACUGACGCUCAUGCACGAAAGCGUGGGGAGCAAAC